CUCCCUCCACGCAUGAACAACCUCUCGGCUACAGGCUGAGGUGACACUGGUGGCAACGGCGAUGAGUCGGAAUGGGGAGAACUGCGGGCGCUGGCCACAGCCAUGUGCAGCAAGGGCUUGCUAUUGUGCUAUACUCCAGGAGCUAGGAGGAUAUACCACCAUUUCUUGCUGGUGGAGGGAGGCUUACUGAAGGCGACAAUUGAGCAGCAGAGGCAAGAAUGAAGCAACAAAACUAAAAGGCCGCUCCUGUCCUAUGUGCGUGUCUUCAAGGGCUCGUCCAUGCUUUUCUCAGCCUAUCGGUGUUGGAUUCAUCGUACUGCCAAGUAACAUCCAUCACUUUUUGGCUGUGCAGGUAAGAUAUGGUGAUAAACAAAGGGAUGUGCGCAGGCUCUCUUCGGCGAAGACGCACAAGUUUACAUCAAAGGAGGCCGAUUCGCUGCGAGAAUUGAAGACACAGGAUUUUCGAAGAAGUUUCCUGCUGGGAUGCUAUUGGCCUCUUUGUUUCCUUACCGGUCAACAACAUCAGUACAACGUGGUUUCUUCAUGCGCAGCUGGAAGCUGGGAAUAUACCCCCGGUCUGGUCAUCGAUCCCCUUCGUCUCAUCGUACACUUGUUGCCACCCAGUCACCCUCCUUGGGCCAUGUUUAGUUGCCCAAUUUUAGAGUGUCAAAAUCACUGUAAGCACACUGUAGCGUUUCGUUUGUAUUUGUGAAUUAUUGUUCAAACAUUGACUAAUUAGGUUCAAAAGAUUCGUCUCGCAAA